rnacentral:tRNA from 1 species
ACGCUGAUCGGGUAGGCCAGCCCGGUGUCGUUCUGACCGGCGCGCACCGUGUUCGGGUGCCCGUCGCCGUCC